rnacentral:rRNA from 1 species
UGAGGAAUAUUGGUCAAUGGACGAGAGUCUGAACCAGCCAAAUCGCGUGAAGGAAGACUGCCCUACGGGUUGUAAACUUCUUUUGUACAGGAAUAAAAGACAUUACGUGUAAUGUAUUGCAUGUACUGUACGAAUAAGCAUCGGCUAACUCCGUGCCAGCAGCCGCGGUAAUACGGAGGAUGCGAGCGUUAUCCGGAUUUAUUGGGUUUAAAGGGUGCGCAGGCGGGAUUUUAAGUCAGCGGUGAAAUUUUCAGGCUCAACCUGAACACUGCCGUUGAAACUGGGAUUCUUGAGUAUGGAUGAAGUAGGCGGAAUUCGUUGUGUAGCGGUGACAUGCUUAGAUAUAACGAGGAACUCCGAUUACGUAGGCAGCUUACUAAGCCAUAACUGACGCUCAAGCACGAAAGCGUGGGGA